rnacentral:rRNA from 1 species
UGGGGAAUAUUGGACAAUGGGCGCAAGCCUGAUCCAGCAAUGCCGCGUGUGUGAAGAAGGCCUUCGGGUUGUAAAGCACUUUCAGUUGGGAAGAAAUGCCGGGUGCUAAUACCGCCUGGUCUUGACGUUACCAACAGAAGAAGCACCGGCUAACUCUGUGCCAGCAGCCGCGGUAAUACAGAGGGUGCGAGCGUUAAUCGGAAUUACUGGGCGUAAAGGGCGCGUAGGCGGUUUGGUAAGUCGGAUGUGAAAGCCCCGGGCUUAACCUGGGAAUUGCAUUCGAUACUGCCCGACUAGAGUAUGGUAGAGGGAAGCGGAAUUCCGGGUGUAGCGGUGAAAUGCGUAGAGAUCCGGAGGAACACCAGUGGCGAAGGCGGCUUCCUGGACCAAUACUGACGCUGAGGCGCGAAAGCGUGGGGAGCAAACAGGAUUAGAUACCCCGGUAGUCC